rnacentral:rRNA from 1 species
UAAUACGUAGGUGGCGAGCGUUGUCCGGAAUUACUGGGCGUAAAGGGCCUGUAGGCGGCAUGGUAAGUCCGUAGUGAAAUCUCCCGGCUUAACUGGGAGCGGUCUAUGGAUACUGCCAAGCUAGAGAUCAUCAGAGGAGAGCGGAAUUCCCGGUGUAGUGGUGAAAUGCGUAGAUAUCGGGAGGAACACCAGUGGCGAAAGCGGCUCUCUGGGGUGGUUCUGACGCUGAGGGGCGAAAGCGUGGGGAGCAAACCGGAUUAGAUACCCGGGUAGUCCACGCCCUAAACGAUGAAUGCUAAGUCUCCGGGGUAUCCACCCCCUGUGAGCUGUAGUUAACGCGUUAAGCAUUCCGCCUGGGGACUACGGCCGCAAGGCUA